rnacentral:rRNA from 1 species
GUGGGGAAUCUUCCGCAAUGGACGAAAGUCUGACGGAGCAACGCCGCGUGAGUGAAGAAGGUUUUCGGAUCGUAAAGCUCUUUCGUUAGGGACGAACGUGCUCUUUGUGAAUAAUGAGGAGUAAUGACGGUACCUAAAUAAGAAGCCACGGUUAACUACGUGCCAGCAGCCGCGGUAAUACGUAGGUGGCAAGCGUUGUCCGGAAUUAUUGGGCGUAAAGCGCGCGCAGGCGGGAUAUCAAGUCUGUCUUAAAAGUGCGAGGCUCAACCUCGUGAGGGGACAGAAACUGGUAUUCUUGAGUGUCGGAGAGGAAAGUGGAAUUCCAAGUGUAGCGGUGAAAUGCGUAGAGAUUUGGAAGAACACCAGUGGCGAAGGCGACUUUCUGGACGAUGUCUGACGCUGAGGCGCGAAAGCUAGGGGAGCGAACGGGAUUAGAUACCCCAGUAGUCC